ACCUCCAUGUGUCUCUGUCAGCGAGUGUCUCCGGGUGGCCUGCCAAGGACUGAAACCCAUCAGCUCUCUGGAAGUUGAUUCAAACUACAGUGGACUACUGAUGUUCAAUAAUGUGAGAUGGCUGAGUCGAGGCCUUAACCACACUAUUGUCUGUGCCCAAGGGUUAUGCAGAUUUACAUAGGACCUUCUACUGCUCAUCCAGUGAUAUUUAAUUAAUUGAGGAAGCAAGUAAUAAAGUUUUAGGAAGGACACUAAUACUUGUAACUGAAGCUUAGGAAGAAAUUAACAAUCAAAUCUCCAGAAAGCAGAAAGCAAGAUAGUUCCAAGAAACUCAACAGCAUCUCUCUGCAGUUCUGCCAUUAUUGAAUCAGCUCAAAGGAUCCCCAGUCAUUGUGUCUCUUUCCCAAGUUUCAAAUUCUCAGGAGUUGGCAUGAAAGCCCCAAACCAAAGGCUUACAUGCUAUGUCCAGGAACUGCAAGAAAUGGGGGCUGAGAGCAGCCAUACUCCAUUCCCCCAUUUUGGACAAGAGUGAGGAGACUUGAACUACAGACCCCGGGACACCAAGAAUCCAGACAUCCCGGCAGCAGAUCUCUGUGAGUAACAGAGCCCAACCCCC